UGGGGAAUAUUGCACAAUGGGGGAAACCCUGAUGCAGCGACGCCGCGUGAGCGAAGAAGUAUUUCGGUAUGUAAAGCUCUAUCAGCAGGGAAGAUAAUGACGGUACCUGAUUAAGAAGCCCCGGCUAACUACGUGCCAGCAGCCGCGGUAAUACGUAGGGGGCAAGCGUUAUCCGGAUUUACUGGGUGUAAAGGGAGCGUAGACGGCAAGGCAAGUCUGAUGUGAAAACCCAGGGCUUAACCCUGGGACUGCAUUGGAAACUGUCUGGCUCGAGUGCCGGAGAGGUAAGCGGAAUUCCUAGUGUAGCGGUGAAAUGCGUAGAUAUUAGGAAGAACACCAGUGGCGAAGGCGGCUUACUGGACGGUAACUGACGUUGAGGCUCGAAAGCGUGGGGAGCAAACAGGAUUAGAUACCCUGGUAGU
rnacentral:rRNA from 1 species